CUGCGUUUGAAAUUCUACUCCUAUUGUCGAUUUCGAAUUCGGGUAGAACUCGUCUCUAGCAAAUCUAGCAAGCAAGUUUGACUUUCCAACAGCCGAGUCGCCGAUUAACACGAUCUUAAACAGGUAAUCGUCGCCGGAAUCCUCUUGAGAAUAAAACGCCAUCUCCUAUGAUAUAAUGUUAUGAAUAUGAUACCAUUACAUGUAUUGAUAUAUCAGUAUAUCGCUUGUUAAAAAUGCAACCUCCAGAAUUCAAAUCCUGUGAAGCAUCAAACUUUACCUAAUCAGCACGGUCUAAUAAUUAAAGUUUUUAUUUUAAAUGGGCAAAAGACUAUAGAAAACUUCAAAGGCAAGACAAGUAAGCAAGGUAUCUUAACAAGUCCUCAAACUUUUGCAAACACAACUCACAUUAUUAAAACUUUUAAGGUAUUUCUUUUAGAAGUGGCAAUAUUCACACGUCUAUUUAUAGGCUGACUCAGGUUAUGUUGUAUCUCUAACAAGUAAUAUAGAAAAAAUAGCUUGAAAAGCAUAGGGUCCAAUAUUAAACAUAUAGAUUAGGUCAUAACUCACACAUAGUGUAAUUUUAGCGCAUAAAACCUCCUAAAUAAUUUCAUUAAAAACUUAUGAGUAAAAUGCAAUUUUUGUCCCUGAGCUUUGAUAUCGUUUGAUUACACAAGCUAAUCUUAAUCCUCAAGUAAACUGAGACCAAAAAGUGUGUUACUGUUACGUAACCAAAACCGAAAUUUACACAGAUAACCAAGCAAAUAAUAUAACUUAUGAUAAAAAUCAAGUAUUUAAUUGAAGCACAGAUUGACAACAAAAGUAACAUCAAUAUGCUGGAAGAAGCUGUAUACGAUAAGUUUUCAGAACACUCAUUGGUAGUUGUCUGGUCCACAUUAUCAACAACCAGUAGUUAAUAAUACAAACUUAGUGUAUUUGCUAGGCUACCGAACAAUAUAAAGUCGGGCAUGGUUACAGCCUGCAAGAAUUGAAAGGUUCACAGAACCAGACCCAGACCGAUUUAUUGCGCAAAUGGCGUGUAGGGUCGCGCUAUCGUCAUAAAUUUGUUGUAAUACCCUCAAAAAAGUAUAUAAUGCACCAUAACAGAAAAGGUCAAGAGAUCUGAAAACUGAUGUGAUGUGCCAAUAGAAUCAAGCAUCAUAGACAUAAAGUAUGAUGGCCAUGACAACUCAAAUUAACUAGAAUUUCAGAUAAUAUGUAAGCAAGGACCACAUCGUCUGUAUUAAGUAUACAAAAUCAAUCAUUGAGACUCUUGGCCAUCUGUUUCAAUAUGCUACUAUCCAAAACACAAGAGAAAAAACAGAAAAUAGAACCAUUUUCUGCAUUUUCUGAUACUUUUUCCUGUCAAUUUAUCUAUCAAACAAAAUGCAUGCUCACAUCAACUUAAACCUUUUUUUAACGGCCUAACUUAUAUUAAAAAAAAAACCGAUCUAGUAAGAAACCAGACAUAACGAGACACAAUUACAAACAGAUCCAGGAAAACGACCCUCACAUCAAUUUAAACCAUUUUUUUAACGGCCAAACUUACAUUAAACAAAGACAGAACGAGACACAAUUACAAACCGAUCCAGGAAAACGACCCUCACGUUAAUUUAAACCUUUUUAACGGCUAAACUUACAUCGAAAACCGGUCUAGUAAGAAACUAGACAGAACGAGACACAGUUACAAACUGAUCCAGGAAAACGACCCUCACAUUAAUUUAAACCUUUAAUUAUGUUUUUAAAUCCAUUUCCUAAAAACCAAACAAACAAUAUCAGCUAAAUCAACUAUUAUUAAGAUUAUUAAGAUCUACAGUUUGUGAUUCGAAACCUAAUUUCAUAAUCAAAUCAUUCCGAUCAAAAUCUCAAAUUUAAGUCAAACAUUAUUCACAAAAAGGUCAACGUUGCUGAAUUUCCGAACAAUCCCGCAAAACAAGCAUAUCUACACAAAUUCUACAAUAACUAACAAAAUAAAGUCAAAAUUAAAGUCAAAAUCAUGUUAUGCUUCCGAUAUACACUCUAUAAAGAUCUAACACAUUUGAAUUCAACAAAUCUGAAUUGACUAAACUUACGAUAGAUAAAUUAAACAGCUUACCUGCAACUUUUUAACUGCUUUGAGCCGCUGAAAAUGUAGAUCGAAGAACGGAGACGAGUAUAACGAGGGAAUAAAUGCAGAUUGUUACGAUUUUUCUGAAGAAUUUAUGGUAUAUUUGAUGAAUUAGGGUUCCAUUAAAUUAAAGAAGAAUGAAGAACGAUGAAGAAACAGGUAGAUUUACAGGUGCAGGAAGACACGUCUGCGUGAAUGGGCCGCCAACUGGGCUU
rnacentral:lncRNA from 1 species